GCGGGGCAACCUGGCGGCGAGUGGCGAACGGGUGAUUAAUAUAUCAGAACGUACCCUGGAGUGGGGGAUAACGUAACGAAAGUUACGCUAAUACCGCAUACUAUCUAAGGAUGAAGGUGGGGGAUUCGCAAGAACCUCAUGCUCCUGGAGCGGCCGAUAUCUGAUUAGCUAGUUGGUGGGGUAAAGGCCUACCAAGGCAUCGAUCAGUAGCUGGUCUGAGAGGACGACCACCCACACUGGAACUGAGACACGGUCCACACUCCUACGGGAGGCAGCAGUGGGUAAUUUUGGACAAUGGGCGAAAGCCUGAUCCAGCACUGCCGCGUGAGUGAAGAACGCCUUCGGGUUGUAAAUCUCUUUUGUCAAGGAAGAAACGGUGAAAGCUAAUAUCUUUUGCUAAUGACGGUACCUGAAAAAUAAGCACCGGCUAACUACGUGCCAGCAGCCGCGGUAAUACGUAGGGUGCAAGCGUUAAUCAUAUUUACUGGGCGUAAAGCGUGCGCAGGCGGUUUUGUAAGUCUGUCGUGAAAUCCCCCGGGCCUCACCCUGUGAAUUGCGAUGGAGACUGCAAGGCUAUAGUCUGGCAG
rnacentral:rRNA from 1 species